UGGGGAAUCUUCCGCAAUGGACGAAAGUCUGACGGAGCGACGCCGCGUGGGUGAAGAAGGCCUUAGGGUCGUAAAGCCCUGUCAUUAGGGACGAAUGGCAGCAGGACUAAUAUGCCUGUUGUUUGACGGUACCUAAGGAGGAAGCCCCGGCUAACUACGUGCCAGCAGCCGCGGUAAUACGUAGGGGGCGAGCGUUGUCCGGAAUCAUUGGGCGUAAAGGGCGCGUAGGCGGGAAUACAAGUCUGUUUUAAAGUUCGGGGCUCAACCCGUGAUGGAAUGGAAACUGUAUUUCUUGAGGGCAGGAGAGGAAAGUGGAAUUCCUAGUGUAGCGGUGAAAUGCGUAGAUAUUAGGAGGAACACCAGUGGCGAAGGCGGCUUUCUGGACUGCAACUGACGCUGA
rnacentral:rRNA from 1 species